rnacentral:sRNA from 1 species
GUGAAGCCAUCCCAGACAGACAGGCACAACAGGAGGCAGCCAUGUUCGUCGAUACAGUGGUUCUCGCCGGAGUCGGCACCGUUCUUCUGAUGGUCGCGUUCUUCGGGGGUGUUGGUUACUUCAUCUGGAAGGAUGCGCACAAGCGCAAGCAGAGCUGAUCCUUCCGGUUCAAUGGGCACGCAAGGCAAUUCGGGCGACUUCGGUCGCCCUUUUUUUUG